GAUGAACGCUGACAGAAUGCUUAACACAUGCAAGCCGAGCGAUGAAGCUCCUUCGGGAGUGGAUUAGCGGCGGACGGGGGAGUAACACGUGGGUGACCUGCCUCAUAGAGGGGAAUAGCCUUUCGAAAGGAAGAUUAAUACCGCAUAAGAUUGUAGUUUCGCAUUAAGCAGCAAUUAAAGGAGUAAUCCGCUAUGAGAUGGACCCGCGUCGCAUUAGCUAGUUGGGGAGGUAACGGCUCACCAAGGCGACGAUGCGUAGCCGACCUGAGAGGGUGAUCGGCCACAAUGGGAAUGAGACACGGCCCAGACUCCUACGGGAGGCAGCAGUGGGGAAUAUUGCACAAUGGGGGAAACCCUGAUGCAGCAACGCCGCGUGAGUGAUGACGGUCUUCGGAUUGUAAAACUCUGUCAUCAGGGACGAUAAUGACGGUACCUGAGGAGGAAGCCACGGCUAACUACGUGCCAGCCGCCGCGGUAAAAC
rnacentral:rRNA from 1 species